rnacentral:rRNA from 1 species
GCAUAUCAAUAAGCGGAGGAAAAGAAACCAACAGGGAUUGCCCUAGUAACGGCGAGUGAAGCGGCAACAGCUCAAAUUUGAAAUCUGGCUCUUUCAGGGUCCGAGUUGUAAUUUGCAGAGGGCGCUUUGGCGUUGGCAGCGGUCCAAGUUCCUUGGAACAGGACGUCACAGAGGGUGAGAAUCCCGUACGUGGUCGCUGGCCUCCGCCGUGUAAAGCCCCUUCGACGAGUCGAGUUGUUUGGGAAUGCAGCUCUAAAUGGGAGGUAAAUUUCUUCUAAAGCUAAAUACUGGCCAGAGACCGAUAGCGCACAAGUAGAGUGAUCGAAAGAUGAAAAGCACUUUGGAAAGAGAGUCAAAUAGCACGUGAAAUUGUUGAAAGGGAAGCGCUUGCAGCCAGACUUGCCUGUAGUUGCUCAUCUGGGCUCUUGCCCGGUGCACUCUUCUGCGGGCAGGCCAGCAUCAGUUUGGGCGGUUGGAUAAAGGUCUCUGUCAUGUACCUCUCUUCGGGGAGGCCUUAUAGGGGAGACGACAUGCAACCAGCCUGGACUGAGGUCCGCGCAUUUUGCUAGGAUGCUGGCGUAAUGGCUGUAAGCGGCCCGUCUUGAAACACGGACCAAGGAGUCUAACAUCUAUGCGAGUGUUUGGGUGUCAAGCCCGAACGCGUAAUGAAAGUGAACGGAGGUGGGAACCCGUAUGGGUGCACCAUCGACCGAUCCUGAUGUCUUCGGAAGGAUUUGAGUAAGAGCAUGGCUGUUGGGACCCGAAAGAUGGUGAACUAUGCUUGAAUAGGGUGAAGCCAGAGGAAACUCUGGUGGAGGCUCGCAGCGGUUCUGACGUGCAAAUCGAUCGUCAAAUUUGGGCAUAGGGGCGA